UGAACAUUUGAUUUGAGUUACUUUCAAAGGGUAUAAGAAACGUUUGUUUUACUUUUCUGUUGCAAAACAUUUUGCUACGGUGUGCACUAAUGAAUACGAGCUUGAUGUCAAGAUGUUUCUCUUCACAGGAAAGAAAACUGUAAGCAUGGUGAAGAUGUUUCUGAAAGUACCUCCAGGAGUUGACCUUAAUGACCCUCUGGUGAAAGAGCAAAUUCUCAUACAGAUAGAGGCAGAGAUCACCAAGAGAGAGGGAGGUGCAUCUGUGCGAUGGAAGGAGCAGCCAGAUGGCAAAGUCUUCCAGAAGAGAGAGAAUGAAGGAAGGACACUGUAAAGAAAUAACAUGUAUGCUGAGUGAGACUCCUACAGGUGAGAAAGUGGGUUGCAUUUAUUUGAAACAGAAAUGAAAUUGUUGAUGAAGACUUUCUUCUAAUUGCUCUGCUUUAUCUGAAAU